rnacentral:rRNA from 1 species
CCUACGGGAGGCAGCAGUAGGGAAUAUUGCUCAAUGGGGGAAACCCUGACGCAGCAACGCCGCGUGGAGGAUGAAGGUUUUCGGAUUGUAAACUCCUUUUGUUAGCGAAGAUAGUGACGGUAUCUAACGAAUAAGCACCGGCUAACUCCGUGCCAGAAACCGCGGUAAUACGGAGGGUGCAAGCGUUACUCGGAAUCACUGGGCGUAAAGGGCACGUAGGCGGGAAAGCAAGUCAGAUGUGAAAUCCUAUGGCUUAACCAUAGAACUGCAUUUGAUACUGGUAUUCUAGAGUAUGGGAGGGGGGGGUGGAAUUCUAGGUGUAGGGGUAAAAUGCGUAGAGAUGAAGAGGAAUACUCAUUGCGAAGGCGACCUGCUAGAACAUAACUGACGCUGAUGUGCGAAAGCGUGGGGAGCAAACAGGAUUAGAUACCCGUGUAGUC